AGCAGUAGCCACGGUAAUACGAAGGGGGCUAGCGUUGUUCGGAUUUACUGGGCGUAAAGCGCACGUAGGCGGAUCCUUAAGUCAGAGGUGAAAUCCCAAGGCUCAACCUUGGAACUGCCUUUGAUACUGGGGAUCUCGAGUUCGGGAGAGGUGAGUGGAACUGCGAGUGUAGAGGUGAAAUUCGUAGAUAUUCGCAAGAACACCAGUGGCGAAGGCGGCUCACUGGCCCGAUACUGACGCUGAGGUGCGAAAGCGUGGGGAGCAAACAGGAUUAGAUACCCCCGUAGUCCCUGUCUCUUAUAC
rnacentral:rRNA from 1 species